UACGUAGGGUGCGAGCGUUGUCCGGAAUUAUUGGGCGUAAAGAGCUCGUAGGCGGUCUGUCGCGUCGAUCGUGAAAACUUGGGGCUUAACCCUGAGCUUGCGGUCGAUACGGGCAUGACUGGAGUUCGGCAGGGGAGGACUGGAAUUCCUGGUGUAGCGGUGAAAUGCGCAGAUAUCAGGAGGAACACCGGUGGCGAAGGCAGGUCUCUGGGCAUUAACUGACGCUGAGGAGCGAAAGCAUGGGGAGCGAACAGG
rnacentral:rRNA from 1 species